AAUAACAUUAGGACUAAGCCAAUGCUUUUAAAUUCCAUGUCUCCUCAAAAAUAAGCAUAGUCAUUCCAGUGAUAUUUGUUCUGGGCCCUGGUAAUUCAUAUCAUCAUGUAAUUUUUUAAAUGUCCAUAUGCAGAUAUAAUAUAAACUAUUUGCUAUUUAGUAACGCUAUUUUACAUAAUUAAGUCAUCAUGGUUUUAUUUUUUCAACAGACGAAUGAAAGCAUAUCUAUACUCUAUAACAGAUGACCAAACUGUAUCAAAUUGUGUUUCCAAAUGGGAACAGAAGCAUUGGCACUUCUGCAUGCCUGACGUGUUUCUGCACCAUUCUUGAUGAGAGGAGUGCUGUUAUCAUCAUCAUUGUAUGAUUGAAGACAUCCAGGUGUUGGAACAGAGAAGUGAGAAAACCAACUGGGUCUGCAGCCUGCACUGGGAUCAGGCCCUUCCCGGAACCACUCGGCCCAGGGUAGGGCUGCGCAGGUUCAGUUCUGCCACGCAAAUUCGGAACCCACUUCUUCCCCAAGAGGGUGAAGAAAAGCAUGUCAGCCUCAACAUCCUGUCCUGUUCUUCAGCAAUUCCUGCUACUUUCUUCCUCAACCCCAUCCGCUCUAAUACCUUGCUCAAGCCCUUGAAAAAUAUGCCACUUCCUUUUGGUCUCCACGGUUUCAGAUAA
rnacentral:lncRNA from 1 species